rnacentral:RNase_P_RNA from 1 species
UGAGUUGGUCGGUCUGUCGCCGAUUUGGCAUGUAUGGGCAACCAUACGCCAAACCGGAGGAAAGUCGGGGCACCGCAGGACACUCUGCUUCCUAACGGGAAGUAUUCGCGAGAAUACCGCAACGCAGAAGAAAACAACCGCCUUAAUAUAUUAUAUAAUAAGGUAAGGGUGAGAACGCGAGGUAAGAGCUCACGACGCCCGCCAGUGAUGACGGGAGUGUGCGUGGCAGAGGGUGAAAGUGCAUGUAAACUGGCGCCGGAGGGCUGUCCGUCCGAGAGACUGCCGAGCGCAGCCAGAGCGUCAGAGGGUAGCACGAUUAGAACC